rnacentral:rRNA from 1 species
AUACGGAGGGUGCGAGCGUUGUUCGGAAUCACUGGGCGUAAAGCGCGUGUAGGCGGUCCGCUAAGUCUGAUGUGAAAGCCCGGGGCUCACCCCCGGAAGUGCAUUGGAAACUGGCGGACUGGAGUCCCGGAGAGGAGGGUGGAAUUCCUGGUGUAGCGGUGAAAUGCGUAGAUAUCAGGAGGAACACCGGUGGCGAAGGCGGCCCUCUGGACGGUGACUGACGCUGGGACGCGAAAGCGUGGGGAGCAAACAGGAUUAGAUACCCUGGUAGUUCACGCCGUAAACGAUGAGCACUAGGUGUCGCGGGUAUUGACCCCUGCGGUGCCGCCGCUAACGCAUUAAGUGCUCCGCCUGGGGACUACGGCCGCAAGGUUAAA